CCAGAUUCUACACAGCAACUGGAGGACAGGGCCUCAGAUCAAGGAAGAAGUGGGAUUGGUUUGGAGGGAUCCUAUCUGGACUCAAGGAAAGUGACAAUACAAAUUAUGGGAUGGAUCUACAUCCUCGAGGUAUCCUUAUAAGAAGAAGCGUGAAACUUGGACACACUGAUAUACCCAAGGAUAAAGUUCACGUGAAGAUGGAGGCAGAGGCUGGAAUAUGUGGCUUCAAAGAACACUCCCGGCCAGCAAUCACCAGAAGCUGAGAAGAGCAAAGAAAGAUUCAUCCCUAGAACCUGGUGUUAUUUAUCUGCUCAUAAAUGCUGAUAGUCAAGAACAAAAUGAACGAGUCACAAGAUAUUGAAAACAAAAAUCCUUAGGAGCAGCUGAUCCUGGUGGGCCAGGAAGCUCAGAAUCAAAAUGGAUGCUCAGUUGGAACAUCCGCACUAGCCUGCCACAUUAGCACGUUUGCUACCACCUCUUUCUGCAGAUCCCAUUUGCAAUUUCUGGGUUUACACCAUCAGACUGAUUUUCUAUGUAAUCUUCGUUAUAAGCCUCUUCAGAUGUUUUUAAAAUGAAAUGAGGAAUACAUUAAUGAAUAAUCAAAU